rnacentral:rRNA from 1 species
AUGGGGUCGAUGAUUGUGCCGAUGGAGCCGAUCAACCAUGUCGAUGCCGACGGCGAUCCACCACCACCGUCCUCUGAACAUGACUCAACUCGUCCUCGGCGGCGGCAGCCUAAAUUUCCAAACAUGGCAGCGGUGCCACUCAUGAAGAAGGUGAUGGCGGAGUUUCUGGGGACGUUCAUCCUCAUGUUCAUCCAGGUGUCCUCCAUAAUCAUGGACGAGCAGCACCACGGCGUGGUGGGCCUCAUGGGCAUCGCCGUGUCCGUUGGCUUAGCGGUCAUGGUGCUCGUCUUCUCCAUCAUCCACAUCUCCGGGUGCCACCUGAACCCGGCCGUGAGCAUCGCAAUGGGUGUCUUCGGCCACCUCCCGCCGGCCCACCUCGUCCCCUACAUCGCCGCGCAGGUACUCGGCUCCACCGCUGCCUCCUUCGCCGGCAACGCGAUUUACCACCCCGUGAACCCUGGGAUCACCACCAUCCCGAGCGUCGGCACGGUGGAGGCGUUCGCCGUGGAGUUCAUCAUCACGUUCAUCCUUCUCUUCGUCAUAAUAGCCGUUGCCACGGACCCUCAUGCAGUGAAAAAAUUGAUAGCAGUGGCGGUCGGUGCGACAGUAGUGAUGAAUAUUCUCAUGGCGGGGCCGUCGACAGGAGCAUCUAUGAACCCAGCGCGUACCAUUGGACCGGCCAUUGCCACGGGGAGAUACACCAAGAUUUGGGUUUAUCUGGUGGCUGAACCACUGGGAGCUAUUGCUGGAGUUGGAUCCUACAUGGCAAUUAAGUUGUAG